rnacentral:rRNA from 1 species
CCUACGGGAGGCAGCAGUGAGGAAUAUUGGUCAAUGGACGAGAGUCUGAACCAGCCAAGUAGCGUGAAGGAUGACUGCCCUAUGGGUUGUAAACUUCUUUUAUAUGGGAAUAAAAUGUUCCACGUGUGGGCUUUUGUAUGUACCAUAUGAAUAAGGAUCGGCUAACUCCGUGCCAGCAGCCGCGGUAAUACGGAGGUUCCGAGCGUUAUCCGGAUUUAUUGGGUUUAAAGGGAGCGUAGGUGGAUUGUUAAGUCAGUUGUGAAAGUUGGGGGCUCAACCGUAAAAUUGCAGUUGAAACUGGCAGUCUUGAGUACAGGAGAGGUGGGCGGAAUUCGUGGUGUAGCGGUGAAAUGCUUAGAUAUCACGAAGAACUCCGAUUGCGAAGGCAGCUCACUGGACUGCAACUGACACUGAGGCUCGAAAGUGUGGGUAUCAAACAGGAUUAGAUACCCUAGUAGUC